AACAACAGAUCUUCAGGAAUGUGUUUGUCUGCUGCAGUUCAGCGAUGAACAAUUGUGAACUGUUUCUUCAUGGAAGUUUCCUGGAAGAAAGGGCAAAAAGAAGCCUGAGGAACAAUACGCUCUGCCUGUCAGCACUGAAGAACAGCUCAGGAGAAAGUAGCAUCCUCCAGAGUGAAAUGUGAUGAUGGGGGUCAGAGCCUUACAUUUGAUCUGGUUUCUCUCUGCCUUCUCUCCAACAGCACAAGAUUUUCUGAGAGUUACUCCACAUAUCACAGCAGAGUGUGGCGAGCAAGUUACCCUGCACUGCAACGCAUCUUCAUCUGAGCAUGUGAGAGGCAUGCAUUGGUACAUACCAAACCAAAGACAGAUGCUAUGUUCUGUCAAGGAUGGAAAGCUCCACACGCAGGACACAGACUCCCUUCACUGGCAUUGUGGGUACAGAGAUGGGCAUCUAUCCCUUGUUUUUCAAAGGCCUCACUCACUGGAGAGCAAAGACUCAACUUACAUGUGCAAACUUCAAUCAACCCACGGAGUGUUCUAUAAAAAUACAACAGUGGAAUUCAAAGAGUGCCAUGAGUCAGCUCAACAUGCUGUGAGUAAGUCGAAGUACCACGUGAAAGAGACACCGACAGGCGGCUCGGACAGCAACAGAGUGGGAUCACAGGGAGCCCUGAGGACAGUCCUGUGUAUGUUAGUCUUACUCACUGUACAUUGAAAUAAUGAAUGAAUGACUUCUAGGUGGAGCCAUGAGGAUUAAUGGCAAUUAGGAACAACAAGAGUGUCAUUUUUCCUUUGUUGGUCCUAGUAGCUCAGGUGAACAAGAGCAUUGACGAUAUCAAUGAGAUUGGGGUUAAUCAUUACACAUAAUAAAACAGCUUUGUUUUUAUGUUUUGGACA
rnacentral:lncRNA from 1 species